UAGUUCUUACUUUAUAAAUUAGACUUUGUAUGAUUAGGAUAUAAAAAGGUAUUGGAAUGUAUAAGAGAAUAUUCUAGAGAUUAGUUUACAAGAAAAUAAUAAAACAUAUGGCAAAUAAUUAUCAGUUUGAUAAGUUUUCUUCUAUAGGAUGAUCCAAUCAAUUUCUUUGUUAAUAGGGUUGAUUUGAAAAGCUUCUUUCUAUGGCGUUGCUGUAUUUAAUUUCUUGAUUUUGAGGAUUAAAUUGCUACAUUGAAUAUG
rnacentral:lncRNA from 1 species